AUCAUCAGAUAUCCUCCUUGCGACAGCUUAGGGACCCGCCCGUUUAGGAGCGCGCGGCCCGCCUUGGGGACCGGGCACCCCGCGGGACAUCUGCAGCCAGCGGCCGGGGCACCGCGGGGAACGCGCUCGGCUUUCAUUCUAGGUCUGACGAGGGGUCCCCGCCCUUUCCGCGUGCGGCUGAGAGGAGCUUUUGGCCGGGCCUGAGUUCUCAGCCCCACCUGGACAGUGCCUCAUUGAUGUUCAAGACGGAGCUCACCACUGCCAGUCCCUCCUUAAGACUGCUGCUUGGUCGAGCCUCCCAUCUUCCACCAGUGCGUUCCCCUGCACACGCAGAGCACCAUUUGGUGAGAUGAAGUGGCCCAUCCUGAAGGAAUUCACUGGCAGGAGCAAGAAAACCUACAGAAGCUUCCUCUUCAGGGGCCCAGCCAGACUCAGGAUGAAGCAGGCUAUGUUAUUACCACCAUAGCUCAAAUGCUGGAGCUGUCGUUUGAGGAUGAGCUCUUUUCCUCUGGAGGGCUCACCAGUUAACUAACCUCUGAGGAAGCCCAGCCCAGGCCUGGCCCUGGAAGUGAAUUUCCAAAUCUGGAGUAUCUAUCUCUCCUGGGGCACCUGGAGCAUCUCUUCUGCAAGAGAACACAGAGCAAGGCAAAUAACCUGCUGGAUAUAAAUAAAUAACCAAACUGAGACUCCAAAGACCAGGCAAGGAAAUGGGCCUGCAUGCAAAUUGGAAAAGGCUGGUACCUCAGAAGCAAUAAAUUAUAAAAUAACUACACUUCCCUCCACGCCCCCACCCCACUCUGUUGGAAAAAGGCCCUUUCCCCAGGGGCUAGGCCUGGGCAGCCACUCUCAGGCUAGAGAGGUGGUCACUUUUGCAGGUUUGCCUUGCAUACAGGGAGUUGCUAAGAAGUUCAAAGCAGCCAGUUCUUUGCUCCAAGCUUCCAGGGAUAACUCCCCUCUGUGGAGCAGGUGGUACAACACCUCGUCCUUUCAG